UUUCUGCUUGCUAUGUGAUGCAUACAUUUUCCAUCUUUUCUCCAAAGUAACUCUUGUCUUUAAUCUUCUAGAAUCAACAUUUAUCUCCAUAAACUGCAGAAGUGUGAUGUUGGCAGGCUAAUGGCACCUGGUAAUACUUUCCACUUUAACACAACUUAAGCCAAGAGGAGACUCAAGACGACAAAGUGAGAUCUCAACAUCCCACAUUCAGAAGUGUUUUAAGCAGGAAAGCUGUGGCCAUCCUAAAAGAUACAUUUAAGUACUUACUAAUGAGGCGAUCACUUAAAGGGAAGUAUUCUAAAGAUUAAGAAUAAAGUCAGCUGCACAAGAAAGAACUAUUUCUUCGAAUUUAUUUAAAAGCCUUUAAAAAGGCUCGUGGUGUGAUUCUUGGGGUGUCCUGUGCAGGGCCCGGUGUUGGACUCGAUGAUCCCAACGGGUCCCUUCCAACUCAGCACAUUCUGUGAUUCUAAGAUCUCUUCCUGCGUGUCCUAGGGUAACUUUAUGAUGCUUGUAUCCCCAGUCGUCUGUUCUGUUUGUGCUGUGUGUUGAGUCCUGUGCCUUUAAGACUGGUUCUAAGAGCAAGGAGAAGCGCGGAGUUUGUUUUGAGAAAACUGCCUGACUCCUCCACAUUCUUCUCCGGACAGCGUGUUCAGCGGAGGCUUGGAGAGACUGCAGGACAGAGAUUUUUUUUGCUUUUAGUUAGUUUCAGCUAGCUAGGGCAGAGAAUUUCCCUGGACUGUUUUUUUCCUUUUUUCUUGGAACUGUUUAAACCUGCUCUGGACUGAAAACCCAGGGGAGCACUGGGGGCUGCACCUGCAGCCCACCGGGGCCUGGACCUCGGCAUUUUCCAGCAGCGGCGGAGGGACUGGGACUGAGGAGAGACUGAGAGAGAGCCGAGCUACACCCACGGCAAGGACUUUCUCAAUUUGCCAUCUCACUCCAGAAGGAGAGGCUUUAUUGUUUCAUAUUAUUCAUUCUUUAUA